rnacentral:misc_RNA from 1 species
GUUAUUUAGUUAUCGAAAAGGAUGGAGGGUCUUUACUCCUCCGUUAAUUUGAGUUCACUCAAGGAAAUGUUUCCAACUCGAACUGAGGAAGAUUUGAGUAAUUUUUUACUUCAAUAUCCUGGACAUAGAUUGGAAGGGCUUGUUGAGAUUAUUUUAAAUGAAAGUGGUUUUUCCUGUGGUAUCUGUUUUGAAAUGGACAAAUUGAUUCACGAAAUUGUAUCCUGUCCUGGAGGACAUUUUUUUUGUAAGGACUGUGCUAGAAAAGGAUGCGAGGGCUUAGUACAAGGGUCAAGAAUUGUUUAUAAAUGUUUCGAACCCAAAUGUGAAGAGGCAUUUGACACUCAAACACUCUCUGAAUUAAUUAAUCCCAAAUUGUUCUCAAAGUAUGUGCAAGGGAUUUGUAAAGAAGAAAUUAAAUCUUGCUUCAAGUUAGAAGAUUGUCCUGAGUGCGACUAUGGGGUGGUGAUCGAAGAUGAAUCAAUUAUGAUAAUUGAGUGUCAAUAUGAAUUUUGUGGUGUUCGAUCCUGUCGUAGAUGUAAGAAAAGAGCUCAUAAACUCGGAGAAAGCUGUAGCUUGAGUGAUUCAGAUAAUCACUUCGUAGCGAACAAAAUGUCUGAAGCCGUCAUACGAAGGUGCUACUCCUGUAAGAAACCCUAUCAAAAGUUUGAGGGAUGCAAUUCAGUGAAGUGUGAAUGUGGGGCAAUGAUGUGCUAUAUUUGUAGAACACCCUUAAAAGGAGGCUAUCACAACAACCGUUCUAGAGAAUGUUCAAGUUCAGUGAACAUGGUAUCCCUACACGAGAUAGAACGGCGCAAGGCUGAAGAAGAGGCAAGAUCCUCUUUAGGGGCUACAGGAACAUCCUUCGCGAAUUUGUAGGGAAUAAUAAUCUAGUUUGUACAUAAAUUUCUUGAAAUGAAAUAUAUUUAUUAAUAAAUUGCAUGUAGAAAUUGGGUAUUCCAAGCUGAUUUUUUUGAGUACAGACAUCAUUUUAAACAAUCCUGUAAUUAAUAAUUAUAGAAGCUUCUAUGGGAACAACAACUACAAAAUUAUCAUUAGAGUACUUUAAGCACGCCUUGAAAUUCAUUGUAUUAGAUCAACUUGUUUUUUUUUUUGUGUGUAAAUCGUUUAUUCCUAAAAAGGAAUCUCAGGGAUAAAGUAUUCUUUUUCACUGUAAAGUUCGAUUAAAAAGGCAUCAUGGCUUGCAUGGAGGGGAGUGGUACGAAACCCAAAAGUGGUCACUCUGGAAAACUCUCGUCAAAGGAAAAUAUUGACCUAUUACAGGAAUUAUUUCCAGAUCGAGAUGUGAACAUUUUAUCAUCUUAUCUUUUGAAAUAUCCGGGGAAACACAUUGAAGGUUUAAUUGAAAUUAUUCUCGGGAAUGAUUCACAAGUCAAGUGUGAGGUUUGCUGGGAAGAAUAUUUUCUCGAAAACACUGUGUCAUGUGUUAAUAGCCACUUUUUCUGCCGAGAUUGUGCUAGGAAGGGGAUGGGAAUACAAAAGUCCGAGGGCAAUGAAGACUAUCGCUGCCUUUUACCUGAAUGCCCUGAAGGAUUUGACUUAGGAUUACUCCAGUCUCUCAUCAAUCCCAAAUGGUUCUCCAAAUACGUACAAAAUAUAUGUAUGAAUGAAGUAAAGAAAUGUGGUAGCCUGGUUCUGGAGUCUUGUCCUGAGUGUAAUUUUGCUGUUAAUAUUGAAGACCCGAGUGUCAAAGUAAUUGAGUGCAAAUACGAUUACUGUAAAGUGAUGUCUUGCCGAAAGUGUAGAAAACGUGCUCAUCCUUAUGGAGUGGUUUGUCAAAACGAGGAGAAAGAAAAAGUUCGUUUAGAGGUAGAAGAAGAAUUGUCGGAGUCUGUGAUAAGGAAGUGCUAUCGAUGUGAAAAAUAUUUUCAAAAAUAUGAGGGUUGCAAUCGGAUUGAGUGUCACUGUGGGGCACAAAUGUGUUAUAUCUGUAGAAGUCCUGUGAUCCCUUCCCAAGAUCACUUUUACAAUUGCCAAGAGCAGCCGGAGCCUGGCAAAUGUCCACUUCAAAGUAACUCUGAGGAUCUUCACAGUAUGGAAAGAGCUAUAGCUGGGAAAAAAGUUGUCUCUUCUAUCGAUCCACUAAAUCGUUAUGGCUCAAUAGUUGAUUCUCUAUUUAGUGUUCAUAAAUAAUAGUACAUUAUUAUACCCAACAGUGUAAUAAAUAUUAUCUACAUUUUGUAAUUGUUAGAUAUUAUAGAUAAUACGUAAAAUGCAUGAAGAAAAUUAGUAAUUAUGUAUACACUUUUUUUUGUAAAUUCAACGUUUUUGUGGAAUAAUUCUUAUAUAUAUAUAUGUUGAUGUAACAAUAUAUUUAUGAUAUAAAAACAAA